GACGAACGCUGGCGGCGUGCCUAAUACAUGCAAGUCGAACGCAGUGGGGACGGGUGAGUAACACGUGGGUAACCUCCCAUCAGAGGGGAUAACACUUGGAAACAGGUGCUAAACCGAUACUGAUGGAUGGACCCGCGGUGCAUUAGCUAGUUGGUGAGGUAACGGGUAACAAAGGCCACGAUGCAGAGCCGACCUGCAGGGGGGAACGGCCACACUUGAACGUAGAAACGGCCCAGACUCCUACGGGAGUCAGCAGUAGGGAAUCUGCGGCAAUGGACGAAAGUCUGACCGAGAAACGCCGCGUGAGUGAAGAAGGUUUUCGGAUCGUAAAACUCUGUUGUUAGAGAAGCGGUAUCUAACCAGAAAGCCACGGCUAACUACGUGCCAGCAGCCGCGGUAAUAC
rnacentral:rRNA from 1 species